rnacentral:rRNA from 1 species
CAGCCGCCGCGGGAAUACGUAGGGUGCGAGCGUUAAUCGGAAUUACUGGGCGUAAAGCAUGCGCAGGCGGUUUGUUAAGACAGAUGUGAAAUCCCCGGGCUUAACCUGGGAACUGCAUUUGUGACUGGCCGGCUAGAGUAUGGCAGAGGGAGGUGGAAUUCCACGUGUAGCAGUGAAAUGCGUAGAUAUGUGGAGGAACACCGAUGGCGAAGGCAGCCUCCUGGGCCAAUACUGACGCUCAUGCACGAAAGCGUGGGGAGCAAACAGGAUUAGAUACCCGCGUAGUCCCUGUCUCUUAUAC